ACCAGGGUGGCGUAGUGGUUAGCGCAUCUGCCUGGAGAGCAGCAGACCCGGGUUCGAAUCUCGGCUUUGGUA